rnacentral:rRNA from 1 species
CCUAGGGUGGCAGCAGUGGGGAAUAUUGGACAAUGGGCGAAAGCCUGAUCCAGCCAUGCCGCGUGUGUGAAGAAGGCCUUCGGGUUGUAAAGCACUUUCAGUGGGGAAGAAAGCCUUGGGGCUAAUACCCUCGAGGAAGGACAUCACCCACAGAAGAAGCACCGGCUAACUCCGUGCCAGCAGCCGCGGUAAUACGGAGGGUGCGAGCGUUAAUCGGAAUUACUGGGCGUAAAGCGCGCGUAGGCGGUCUGAUAAGCCGGUUGUGAAAGCCCCGGGCUCAACCUGGGAACGGCAUCCGGAACUGUCAGGCUAGAGUGCAGGAGAGGAAGGUAGAAUUCCCGGUGUAGCAGUGAAAUGCGUAGAGAUCGGGAGGAAUACCAGUGGCGAAGGCGGCCUUCUGGACUGACACUGACGCUGAGGUGCGAAAGCGUGGGUAGCAAACAGGAUUAGAUACCCUGGUAGUC